UGCAGUCAGGAGAAUUUCCAUUUCGGUGGAAUAGUAAACUGGCGAACGGGUGAGUAACGCGUAGAUAACUUGCCCAAAGGACUGGGAUAACCUCGAGAAAUCGGGACUAAUACCGGAUAUAACAAAUGACCGCAGGGUUGUUUGUGAAAGGGGGUUUCGGCUCCCACCUUUGGAUAGGUCUGCGUCUGAUUAGCUAGUUGGCAGGGUAACGGCCUACCAAGGCAACGAUCAGUAGCUGGUCUGAGAGGAUGAUCAGCCACAUUGGGACUGAGAUACGGCCCAGACUCCUACGGGAGGCAGCAGUGGGGAAUUUUGCGCAAUGGGGGAAACCCCGACGCAGCAACGCCGCGUGGUCGAUGAAGCUUCUAGGAGUGUAAAGACCUGUCGUUAGGGAAGAAUUAGACAGUGAGUAACUGCUCUGUCUUUGACUGUACCUUUCAAGAAAGCUCCGGCUAACUCCGUGCCAGCAGCCGCGGUAAUACGGGGGGAGCAAGCGUUAUCCGGAAUCACUGGGCGUAAAGGGCGCGUAGGCGGAUUUUUAAGUCAAAUCUGAAAGUUAACAGCUCAACUGUUAAAGUGGGUUUGAAACUGAUCACCUUGAGUGCGAGAGAGGAAAGCGGAAUUCCUGGUGUAGCGGUGAAAUGCGUAGAUAUCAGGAGGAACACCGGUGGCGAAGGCGGCUUUCUGGCUCGUAACUGACGCUGAGGCGCGAAAGCGUGGGGAGCAAACAGGAUUAGAUACCCUGGUAGUCCACGCCCUAAACGUUGUAUACUUGUUGUC
rnacentral:rRNA from 1 species